rnacentral:rRNA from 1 species
GAUGAACGCUGGCGGCGUGCCUAAUACAUGCAAGUCGAACGCUUCACUUCGGUGAAGAGUGGCGAACGGGUGAGUAAUACAUAAGUAACCUGGCAUCUACAGGGGGAUAACUGAUGGAAACGUCAGCUAAGACCGCAUAGGUGUAGAGAUCGCAUGAACUCUAUAUGAAAAGUGCUACGGGACUGGUAGAUGAUGGACUUAUGGCGCAUUAGCUUGUUGGUAGGGUAACGGCCUACCAAGGCGACGAUGCGUAGCCGACCUGAGAGGGUGACCGGCCACACUGGAACUGAGACACGGCCCAGACUCCUACGGGAGGCAGCAGUAGGGAAUUUUCGGCAAUGGGGGAAACCCUGACCGAGCAACGCCGCGUGAAUGAAGAAGUAAUUCGUUAUGUAAACUUCUGUCAUAGAGGAAGAACGGUGGAUAUAGGGAAUGAUAUCAAAGUGACGGUACUCUAUAAGAAAGCCACGGCUAACUACGUG